AACGCUGGCGGCGUGCCUAAUACAUGCAAGUCGAACGAACUCUGGUAUUGAUUGGUGCUUGCAUCAUGAUUUACAUUUGAGUGAGUGGCGAACUGGUGAGUAACACGUGGGAAACCUGCCCAGAAGCGGGGGAUAACACCUGGAAACAGAUGCUAAUACCGCAUAACAACUUGGACCGCAUGGUCCGAGCUUGAAAGAUGGCUUCGGCUAUCACUUUUGGAUGGUCCCGCGGCGUAUUAGCUAGAUGGUGGGGUAACGGCUCACCAUGGCAAUGAUACGUAGCCGACCUGAGAGGGUAAUCGGCCACAUUGGGACUGAGACACGGCCCAAACUCCUACGGGAGGCAGCAGUAGGGAAUCUUCCACAAUGGACGAAAGUCUGAUGGAGCAACGCCGCGUGAGUGAAGAAGGGUUUCGGCUCGUAAAACUCUGUUGUUAAAGAAGAACAUAUCUGAGAGUAACUGUUCAGGUAUUGACGGUAUUUAACCAGAAAGCCACGGCUAACUACGUGCCAGCAGCCGCGGUAAUACGUAGGUGGCAAGCGUUGUCCGGAUUUAUUGGGCGUAAAGCGAGCGCAGGCGGUUUUUUAAGUCUGAUGUGAAAGCCUUCGGCUCAACCGAAGAAGUGCAUCGGAAACUGGGAAACUUGAGUGCAGAAGAGGACAGUGGAACUCCAUGUGUAGCGGUGAAAUGCGUAGAUAUAUGGAAGAACACCAGUGGCGAAGGCGGCUGUCUGGUCUGUAACUGACGCUGAGGCUCGAAAGUAUGGGUAGCAAACAGGAUUAGAUACCCUGGUAGUCCAUACCGUAAACGAUGAAUGCUAAGUGUUGGAGGGUUUCCGCCCUUCAGUGCUGCAGCUAACGCAUUAAGCAUUCCGCCUGGGGAGUACGGCCGCAAGGCUGAAACUCAAAGGAAUUGACGGGGGCCCGCACAAGCGGUGGAGCAUGUGGUUUAAUUCGAAGCUACGCGAAGAACCUUACCAGGUCUUGACAUACUAUGCAAAUCUAAGAGAUUAGACGUUCCCUUCGGGGACAUGGAUACAGGUGGUGCAUGGUUGUCGUCAGCUCGUGUCGUGAGAUGUUGGGUUAAGUCCCGCAACGAGCGCAACCCUUAUUAUCAGUUGCCAGCAUUAAGUUGGGCACUCUGGUGAGACUGCCGGUGACAAACCGGAGGAAGGUGGGGAUGACGUCAAAUCAUCAUGCCCCUUAUGACCUGGGCUACACACGUGCUACAAUGGAUGGUACAACGAGUUGCGAACUCGCGAGAGUAAGCUAAUCUCUUAAAGCCAUUCUCAGUUCGGAUUGUAGGCUGCAACUCGCCUACAUGAAGUCGGAAUCGCUAGUAAUCGCGGAUCAGCAUGCCGCGGUGAAUACGUUCCCGGGCCUUGUACACACCGCCCGUCACACCAUGAGAGUUUGUAACACCCAAAGUCGGUGGGGUAACCUUUUAGGAACCAGCCGCCUAAGGUGGGAC
rnacentral:rRNA from 1 species